rnacentral:rRNA from 1 species
AUUGAACGCUGGCGGCAUGCCUUACACAUGCAAGUCGAACGGUAACAGGUCUUCGGAUGCUGACGAGUGGCGAACGGGUGAGUAAUACAUCGGAACGUGCCCGAUCGUGGGGGAUAACGGAGCGAAAGCUUUGCGAAUACCGCAUAAGAUCUAAGGAUGAAAGCAGGGGACCGCAAGGCCUGGCGCGAACGGAGCGGCCGAUGGCAGAUUAGGGAGUUGGUGGGAUAAAAGCUUACCAAGCCGACGAUCUGUAGCUGGUCUGGGAGGAGGACCAGCCACACUGGGACUGAGACACGGCCCAGACUCCUACGGGAGGCAGCAGUGGGGAAUUUUGGACAAUGGGCGCAAGCCUGAUCCAGCCAUGCCACGUGUGGGAAGAAGGCCUUCGGGUUGUAAACCACUUUUGUCAGGGAAGAAACGCUCUGGGCUAAUACCCGGGGCUAAUGACGGUACCGUAAGAAUAAGCACCGGCUAACUACCUGCCAGCCGCCGCGGUAAUAC